UUGCUCCAACCUGAUUUCAACCCUAAAAGGGCGAACUCAACCCGCCAAAUGUAUCAAUAUCGCGUAAACAACAACUUCAACUACACCUUAUUCAUUUCAAUUUUUAAAUUUAAAAUUCAAAUUCGUACAAAAAUAAUACGAUUUCUAGCUCACUCAACAAACCUUAUCCUUUCUUGAAUUCGAAUUUCCCAAAAGGCCCUUAAAAACCCUUCUCCUACAUCAAAAAUUGUUGAUGAAUUUGAGGAUUUUGGGUUUUAUUUAAACCCUCCUCAAUCCACUAUUGAAAGGAAUUUCCGAAGGAAAAAAGAACUAAGAAUUUUCUUUACUCGGCUAGAAUUUUGGACUUCAAUCCGCAGCCUUCGAGUGGUGACAAUUCUAGCUCAAGUUUCAUUUUUUGUUACUCUUUUUUUGAGUUAAGAAGUAUGGUGAAGUCGUCGUUGAUUCGUCAUCCCAGUUUGCUGAUCCCGAAAAGGUAAAAACUUCAUCUCUUUUGCAUUUCUUCUCUCAGUUUGUGACAAUAAAAAUAUGAAUCUCAGUUGUAACAAUUAGAAUAGGGUUAGGUCUUGUACAAAAUAUUGUAUGUUUGGAUGAAUAACUAUGUUCAAAUUUAAUUGGUUUGGAAUAUUUAUUUAGUUAAUAUUUGAAUAUGUGAGUCUAUUUGGGUAUUUUUGUAUUUAUAACACAUGGAAUUAUUGCACUACAUUAUAUUUGUUAUGAUUUAAAUUUGUUUGGAAUUACUGCUUUUAUCCUUGGAAUUGUCACGACCUAAAAUGAAGGUCAUGAUGGCACUUAUCGCGGUGUACCUUGACAAGUAAGCCUAUCACCCAAACCGAUACAAAAAGAAAAAAAGACAAAAAUAUCCCAAGGUAAGGGUUCUAGAACGAAGCCGAACCUUUUAAUUAAUUAUAACAAUGCAGAAAAAACUUGUCCAAAAUAUCAAUCAUGCCCAAAACCAGGUGUCAAUAGUGUAAGAACUACUAAUACAAUCCUAGAGUCAAAUACAUCAGAAAAAUAAUCACAAAAGAAUAAUAUUUGUCUCUAAAUACAAAUAAAGACAUAACUACUAUAGAAAGAUAGAGGUGAACUUUGGACGCAUGAAUGUCUAGCUGCUACCUUGAAAGCUCCAACAAUUGCCUGAGUCAAUCAGUCUGGGGCGCACUCAAGCUAGGACCUGCGUCAAAAGGGCGCAGUAGGCAUGAGUACAGUCCACUUGUACUCAGUAGGUAUCAUAGGCCGACCAAACAAAGUAGUAAAUAAAGCAUACAAAAUAUACACUAAGGGCACGUCACCUGCAAUCAAAAAAUAUCCCACAAUGGUAGCCCACACCGCUUGCACUAACAGUUCUAAUAUAUCUCACAUAUAUUACAACAUCACACCAAGAUAGAACAGAAUUACGUAUUAUAUCACAUAUAGGAAGAAUAAAAGGUAACAUUUAUAUACAAUACCAUCAAAUACAAGCAAAAGAUGAUAUGAUAAAUACAUAGAUGACAUGUCAAUAUGGCAAUACAACACAACAUAACACAAUAAAGUAAGUGCAAUGUAUAUGAUGAUGAUAAUGAUGAUGCACGAGGUCGUUGUACAACCUCCAGAAUCAUAUCACAAUUCCUGUAUACGCAUAUGGAGGCAAUCUUUCCAACAUAAGACUCAUGGGGGUUCGUUAACUUGUAUACAAUCUUCAUAUCUUAUAUCUCCUUUCUGGCACAUCUGUAAUACUUCGAGAAUCCAAACCAAUAUCAGAACCAUGCUUUAAGCUCAUGCAAAAUAAAUUAUAGUGAUUUGGUAGUUUUAUGAGUGAUUUUUAUGUAUAUUAAGGCCUCAAAUAACUCCUAGCUAUUAGACAAAUUAAAAUAUCCCUUACCGAUUGAGUUCUUAAGAAGGACAUUGCUAUAGUCAAUUUCAAACGAUUAUAUCUUUUGUUCUAUUAAGAAUUUUUGAGCUCAUAACCCACCAAAAGAUAGAUAAUUGAAUUAUAUUUACAAUGAUACUAAUUUUGACUUAAUCCAAUAUCGGGGUAAAACAUUAUGUCCGUUUUACAGAGAGUUGUCCGACUGUCGAGGUGCGAUAGGAAAGCUGACAGACCGUCAACCAAGCUGUCGAAACUCAGGAAGUGAGCUUAUUUUCUGGCCGUAAACUGAUGGUUUAAGUGACGUUCAGUCACCAUAGUGAUAGUACGUCACCCAGACCGUCAACCAAGUUCGAAGCAGUGCAGUAACGACGUUAUAAUAAGAUUUUUGGGUCUUUUUCCACCCUUUUUAACCCCUAAUUCCAUCAAUUUAAACAACAUAAAUUCCAUCAAUUUAAACAACAUAACUCCUUAUUCAUCCUUCAUAUCAAAAUUAGAGUUUCUUUCAAGAUCAUUCUCCAAGAACAAAAUUCAAACCCUCUUUAAUAAAACUCAAGAAUUCAAGCAUCACCAUUUAAGAACCUUCAAGAAAAGUUAUUAUCUUUUAAUAUUCAAGAUUUUGAGGUAUGUUAGAUGUUCAUCCAUGAGUCCUUUACACCCAUGGAGUCCAAUAACCCAUUUCAAGAUGAAAGUUAUGAUUUUUACAUGUUUUUAUGAAUUACAUCCAUGAAACUUCAUCAAUUUUGAUUCUUAUACCAUGUUUAAAUGUAGUUUUUAUUGUUAUUAAACCUUACAUGUUAGAAUGGUGUUGUUCGCUGAUUUAAGCCUUAAUUGGUGAUUUAGUAUCAAAAUCAUGCUACUGCUACAUGCUUAAAACUAUUCCCAUAAUUAAUCUAUGCAUUACAAGUGUUUGAUUAAAUGCCUCAAAGAAUGAGUAUUGAAUAUUGACUACAUGCCAUUCCUCAAUAUUUUAGUAUGAUUUUCCUAUUAUUGCUAUCGAGUCCUGGGGGUUUGAAUACCCAAAAUUUAGCUAUUUUACUUAGUUUUUUGUACCCAUAGAAUGAUUUCAGGAUAUACCAUGAUCAUUAUCAGUUCCGCCAGUCAUCAUAAUUAGUUAAACUUAGAUCGGUUCAGAAUUUAGUGUUCUUUAGUUGGGAGUAGGAUUUAAAAUCGAGAGAAUGCAAUGAUGGCGGAUUCCCUGUCUAUUAGGCAGAGUCAUUAGUAGUAGUCCCUGUGUUUCAGAACUACGUAGUCAGCAUAAGAUAAGGGAUCACCCGUUAGUUUAGGCUUGACUACCUCCUAGGGGUCAUUCGUCACAUUAGGAUUGACUUCGCCCAAGUGUCACCCGUCAUUUUAGGCUUGAUAUCUUGGUUUUUCAGUAGCUUAGUGGAUCUAGAUAGCCAUUGUUAGUACCUGUGGCACGGUACUAACACCGUUUCAACUGGGGUUACAGGUUGAGCCCCAAUUAGUUCAGAGCGGAGCAUGUCGGUUAGAUGAUUCCUCCCACAGUCUUAGUUCAGUGUUUAGUAUAAUUCAGUUUGGAUUUGCAUUGACCAUAGCAUAUAGUUAUCAGUUAUUCAGUUAUAAGAUUUCAAUACUUCAGUUUAUAGACUAUUUUUAGAAUCAUGUUAUAUGCUUGGUCAUGCAUUCUCAGAUUUUACAGUAUUCAAGUAUUCAUGUUAGUUAUUCAGUUAUCUCAUGAUAUUCAGUCAGUCUUCACUUCAUGCACAUAACCCAUGCAUGUUAUCCUAAACCUAUUUAGCAUACCAGUACAUUCAAAGUACUAAUCGUAUACUUAUUUUUUUCUAUGAUGUCUUAUAUCAUAGGUUCGAACGCUCGGGUUCCGGAUCGUACUUAGGCAGAUCAGCCUAUCAGUAGCAGUCAAUAGUGGUGAGUCCUAAUCCUUCGAGGAUGAGUUAUCUUACAUUUAUUAUAUCAUUAGUUUUAUUAUUUAGUAAGUCGAAGUUAGUUGGGGGCUUGUACCAUCAACUCCACAGUCAGUCAAUUUAGAGGCUUCAGACUAGUACAGAUAGUUAAUCAGUUUUUAUUUUUUAGUUAUUAUUAUCAGCGUUUUAUCAGUAUUAUCAAUGUUAUUUUACAGACAUUAUCAGAACUAUGAUUUAAGACCUUAUGGCAUUUUCUUAGUAAAAUUCCACAAAUACUCAUUUGUUAUCAGUUUUAUUCAGUGCUCACAAUAGGUACCAGUAUCAUGGGUUACCUUGUGAUCACUUGUAAUCGUAAGCCCUGUGUGGCUCCCAAGGUGUACUCUCAGGGCAUUACAAACUUGAUAUCAUAGCCAAAGGUUUUACAGUGUCUUAAGGAGUUUGAAAGCCGCAUUGAGUAGAGUCUUGUGCAUGUGUGUAAAGUGCGCCACACUUAUGGACAAGAGGCUACACGACAUUUUAGGAAAAGUUUCUCUUUUUUCAGUAUUAAUGUAGUGAAAAGAGCAUGAGCUCUAUUUAAACUCUCCUUUUUAAUUCACUCUUCUUUUCGUUUACAGAAAAUGCCUCCCAGAAAGAACAACGAAAGAAAAAAUGGGAAUAGCCCGCACCUCCGCUUGUUUAGGAAGAUCCCUUGAAUGAGCAUGUUUCUUAUGUAGAGUUCAGAGCUGCAUUCACUACUCUAGCUCACUCUAUAUCAGUUCAGAAUGUUAGAACAACUGAUGCCCCAAACUAUCCAGCGUCUAUACAUCCGUAACUAUAAUUUGAGACUUCACUCGACUGAAUUCGCUUCAGUAUUUUGGAUCUAAGUCUGAUAAGGAUCCCUAGGAAUUCUUUGAUAUAAUUCAGAAGGUGACUGGUAUUAUGGGUGUUACAUUUAGUAAGAGUGAAAAGUUGACUACUUACCAGUUAUAGGAUGUAGCUCACACCUAGUAUAAGUAGUGGAAAGAGGAUAGAGGAACAAAUGUAGGGCCAGUAGAGUGGGAAGAGUUUUCUUUCCUUUGGAUUUGAGGGAAUCUAAAGUGCUAGAGUUUGUUAAUUUGAAGCAAGGGAGUAUGAGUGUGAAGGAGUAUUCACUUAAGUUUACUUAGUUGGCGAGGUGUGCUCCUCAUGUGGUGGCUGAUAAUAGGUCUAGAAUUAGUACGUUUGUGUCUGGUAUAUUUGAUAGUGUGGUGAAGGAGUGUAGAACUGUCAUGUUGAUUAAGGAGAUAGAUAUAUCUAGGCUUAUGGUCUAUGCUCAACAAAUUGAGGAACAAAAACUUAAAAAGAGAUAGAGGGAGAAUAAGAGAUCCAGAACAGGUAGUUUUAAUUUUUCUCAACCUAAGUCAGAGGGUGGUAAAUGUUCUUAGUUCCAUCAGAAGUUUUCUGCCCCAGCUCCUUCUUCAUCUAGUGCGCCAGUACCAAAAUUCAGGAAUAACAGUCAUGAUGGGGCGCCAGGCUCUAAAAUCUAGGGUACUAUGAACAGUGAUCGUACCAAUCUGGUUUGCCAGGAAUAUGGUAGAAAACAUCAGAGUGAGUGUAGAGCUGGAAAUAAUGUGUGUUUUAGGUAUGGUAGGCCAGGCCACAGGCUUCGAGAAUGUUGAGUAGUUGCUCAAAGGGGAAGAGAAUUAUGCCAAUAGGGCCGGUCCAAUCAGUCAUCAGCUCAAGUAGGUUGCCCAACUCAGCAAGGUACUAGUGAUCAGCAUCAGAAUAGACUAUAUGCACUUUUGUCCUGAUAGGAUCAGGAAAAUCCUUCUAAUGUGAUUACGGAUACGUUUCAUAUCUUUCAUCUUCGUGUGAAAGUUUUAUUAAACCCCAGAGCUUCAUUUUCUUUUGUAACCCCUAUAUUGCUGUCAAAUUCGGUAUUAGUCUCAAAACUCUAGUAGAUCCCUUCUUAGUGUCUAGUACCACAGACUUGGUAUGAUGACUUUAAGCUAAGGGGGAGAUGAUAGAACAAGUAACUAAGUCAGGCUUUAUUCUGGUAGUGAUUCCAGUAUAUGUAGAAAAUAGUAGGAAAGGAUAAUGCCCAACCCAUUCUUAUCUCAGUGUAAGGUUUCUCAGUUAUCACGAUAUCUACUCAUGCCUUACAUGUCAGCUCUAUGAUCAUAGCUCAUAUUCUUGCAUAUUAUAGAAAUUUAUCUACUCUCCCAGUCCCUUGUAUAAGGAGUUCCAGUUCACUUAGCAGUACGAAUCAUGUUCCAUGAAUUCAGAAACUCCAAACUCAGGUCAUUCAGUCCAUGACUCAUGUAUUCAUGUUUUAUAGUAUGCUCAGCUUCCAUGACUCAUGCUAUACUCUUAAUGAUCAACAAAAUUUAGAUUUGUGUCAUGUAUAUCCUCAAUUUAGACCUCUUUAAGGGAUUCAUGUCAUUUAUACUCUAUUCCUCAUGCCCAAGCUAAAUGUCCAAGUUAUGCAUGGUAUAUCUUCCAUGCUUUAGGAUCUCAUGUUCUAACUUUUUAGUGACCUUUCCUUAUGAAAUAAUGGUGAUGAUGAGUAAUUUAUUUAGAUGUGAGAAAGUAAAUGUUUCAUGUUAAGGAAAGAUUGUUGCAUGCUUAUUUUACACGAGACUUUAGUUAUGAAGAUAGGCUUGAAUGUCAUGUUAGAGUAUAAGUGGAUAAAUGCACUACACGUUAGCGACUAGCUAGUAAGAGGUUGUAUUUAGUUAUUGAAGGGGUAAUCAUAAUUAUUCAGGUGAUGGGAAGUUAUGAAAAUACAGAGUAUAUUGAAUUCAUGACUCAGACUAGCAUUACAGUAUUAUGUGUGCAUUUUAUAUAUUCGGGUAGGCUUGGACACAGUGGGAGAAUUCAGCCCUGCUCAUACCUCAGUAGGUAGAGUUAUAAGUGCCCAUGUGAAUAUUUUCAGUAGCUUCAAGUAAAGUGCGGUGUUGAAGUAGAAAGUAUAGUUGAGGGAGUAGUUGAGAAGUGUGGCUAAGAUUGUAAGUUAGUAGUUGCAGUGCAUAAGGCUUAGUGACUCUAUCCUAGCUGAUGUUUCGUAUGUCUGUAUCCCAUAUUACAGAAUUUUAGCCAUGUUGUGAUUUCUUAUUUAGAUGUCUUAUUCAAGCCAUGCCAAGAUUAUUAGCUCCCUAAAGUCAUUAGAACUUCUUAGAAGGAGUGUCGAAGAAAUACUUCGGUUAAGUAUAAGCUUUCAGUAUGAGUUAGUUGUAUAGCCAGUAAUUAGGUUUAACAAUCAGGCAGACAAGUUCCUAUGGUUUUCAUCUCUUAUAUUCAGUAGGAAAUUCUUUCAUGACCAUGUAAGUUAUAACUUCAGUUCAGUUGAAGCAUCAAGCAUCAGUUUCAGAUUCCAGAUAUUCAGUCAUGAUUCAGUUCGUACGUGUCUCGUGUAUCAUCUUAGUUUUUCCUCAAUAUUUCAGCCAUGUCAGUGUCUUUUGGGGGACAUAAUACCCCAAGGGGGUGAUAUAAUAUAAUUCCCCAAGCUUUUAUGUCCUAAACCUUCCAUCUUCUCUCCACGUAGAAAGAUCCAGCUUAAAGUAAUGGGUACUCAUAAGUUGACUCUCUCAUUUCUAUCUCAGCCUUAUGACCAUUCUCAUGUCAUUUCAUGUAUUCAAGGAAAGAAGUUUAGUUCAUGAUAUUCAGUUCAUGUAUCAUGUUUCAGACCCAGUUAUGUUCUCAUAUUCCCAAUAAUGCAUAUUCAGUAUAUGUUCUCAGAUUCUUCAAUACUCUCAGCUAAACCAGCCUCAUUCGAGGACGAAUGUUCUCAAGAUAGGGAUAUUGUAAUACCUCAAGAAUCCAAACUAAUAUUAGAACCAUACUUCAAGCUCAUGCAAAAUAAAUUAUAGUUUUUUGGUAGAUUUAUGAGUUAGUUUGAUGUAUAUUAAGGCCUCAAAUAACUCCUAGCUAUUAAGUGAAUCAAAAUAUCCCUUACCGGUUAAGUUCUUAAGAAGGACAUUGCUAUAGUCAAAUUCAAACGAUCAUAUCUUUCGUUCUAUUAAGAAUUUUUGAGCUCAUGACCAACCAACAGAUAGAUAACUGAAUUAUAUUUCCAACGAUACUAAUUUUGCCUUAAUCUAGUAUCGGGAUAAAAAGUUAUGCAUAUUUUAUCAGAGAGCUGUCCGACUGUCAAGGUGCGAUGGGAAAGUUGACGGACCGUAAAGCCAGUGAUGGCCGUCAACCAAGCCAUCGCAACUUAGGCAGUGAGCUCAUUUUCUGGCCAUAAACUGAUGGUUUGAGUGGCGGUCAGUCACAAUAGUGACGAUCCAUCACCCAGACCGUCAACCAAGUCCGAAGCAGCGCAGUGACGACAUUAUAAUGAGAUUUUUGGGUCUUUUUCACCCCUUUUAACCAUUAAUUCCAUCAAUUUAAACAACAUAACUCCUCAUUCAUCCUUAACAUCAAAAUUAGGGUUUCUUUCAAGAUCAUUCUCCAAUAACAAGAUUCAAACCCUUCUUCAAGAAAACUCAAGAAUUCAAGUGUCACCAUUCAAGAACCUUCAAGAAAAGUUAUUCUCUUUCAAGAUUCAAGCUUUUGAGGUAUGUUAGAUGUUCAUCCAUGGGUCCUUUACACCCAUAGAAUCCAAGAACCCAUUUUCAAGAUCAAAGUUAUGAUUUUUACAUGUUUUCACAAAUUACAUCCAUAAAACUUUACCUAUUUCGAUUCUUAUACCAUGUUUACACGUAGUUUUCAUUGUUAUUAAACACUACGCAUUUGAAUGAUGUUGUUCGCUGAAUUAAGCCUUAAUUGAUGAUUUAGUAUCAAAAUCAUGCUACUACUACAUAUUUAAAACUAUUCUGAUGCUUAAGCCCUGCAUUACAAGUGUUUAAUAAAAUACCUCAAAGAAUGAGUUAUGAAUAUUGAUUACAUGUCAUGUCCUCAAUAGUUUAGUAUGAUCUUGCUAUUAUUUCUAUCGAGUCCUGUGGUUUUGAAUACCCAAAAUUUAGUUGUUUUACUUAGUUUUUUUACCCAAAGAAUGAUUUCAGAAUAUACCAUGAGCAUUAUCAGUUCCGCCAGUCAUCAUAAUCAGUUAAAUUUAGAUCAGUUCAGAAUUCAGUGUCCUUCAGUUGGGAGUAGGAUUUAAAAUUGAGCGAAUGCAGGGAUGAUGAAUUCCCCGUCAGUUAGUAGCAGUCUUUGUGUUCCAAAACUACGUAGCCAGCGUAGGAUGAGGGGUCACCUGUCAUUUUAGGCUUGACUACCUCCCAGGGGUUACCCAUUAGAUUAGGCUUGACUCUGCCUAGGUGUCACCCGUCAGUUUAGUCUUGACAUUCUUAUUUUUCAGUAGCUUAGUAGAUCCGCAUAGCCAUCGUUAGUAUUCGUGGCACGGUACUAACACCCUUUCAACUGGGGUUACCGGUUGAACCUCAAUCAGUUUAGAGUAGGGCAUGUCGGUUAGAUGAUACCUCCCACAGUCUUAGUUCAGUGUUCAGUAUAAUUCAGUUUGGAUUUACAUUGACCAUAGCGUACAGUUAUCAAAUUUUGAUACUUUAGUUUACAGACUAUUUUUAGAAUCAUGUUAUAUGCUUGGUCAUGCAUUCUCAGAUUUUACAGCAUUCAAGCAUUCAUGUUAGUUAUUAAGUUAUCUAUAAUAUUCAGUCAGUCUUUACUUCAUUCACAUAACCCAAAGAUCUUAUCCUAACCCCAUUUAGCAUACUAGUACAUUUAAAGUACUGAUUGCAUACUUGUUUUUUGCGCUAUGAUGUCUUAUAUCAUAGGUUCGGACGCUCAGGUUUCUGACCGUACUUAGAUAGAUCAGCCUAUCAGCAGCAGUCAGCAGUGGUGAGUCCUCAUCUUUCGAGGAUGAGCCAUCUUACAUUCAGUAAAUCAUUAUUUUAGUUAUUUAGUCAGUUGGGGUUAGUUGGGGGCAUGUCCCAUCAACUCCACAGUCAGUCAGUUUAGAGGCUUUCAGACUAGUACAAACAGUUAGUCAGUUUUCAAUUUUCAGUUGUUAUUAUCUUCCAUUUUAUCAGUAUUAUCAGCGUUGUUUUAUAGACAUUAUCAGAAUUAUGAUUUAAAACCUUAUGGCAUUUUUCAGUUAAAUUCCACAAAAACUCUUUUAUUAUCAGUUUUAUUCAGUGCCCACAGUAGGUACCAGUAUCAUAGGUUAGAUUGUGGUCACUUAUGACCAUAAGCAUCGUAUGGAACCCAGGGUGUACUCUCGGGGCAUUACAACAUCCCUCGGAAAGGGUUUUAUAAGGUGUUACAAUAUCUCCUCCUCGGUACAUUCCUCGGGAAGGAUUUUAAAAAGGUGUUACCAGUGUUUCUUAGAUAUUUCCACGGUGGUACUAAUGUUUCAUGAAUGAGUAUGAUAUGAGGAUGCAAUGCUCACAACCAAUCACAAUGAGUAUUUUCACAACCAACCACAAUGAUAUAUUUCCAUAACCAUGUGAGCUAAUAUCCACUCAUUAUUUUAGUUUCAUCCACGAAUUUCCACAUAUUUCAUAUGCCAAUAAAGUAUGAAUAUAAUCACAAAACACCAAUGGUACCAUAUUAAGCAUCUUAACAACAUAAUACAAUUAGUCACAUGUAUUUAAGGCUAUUAAUAUCUCAUAGGACCCCACACGGUCACACAUAUCAUAUAAUAACUCAAUUUCAAAAAUUAUAUCACAUAUAGGCCCUCACACGGGCAAAACUCAUAAAUAGCCAAUUUUCAUGAUUAGUUACCAUCCUUAACAUGCAUUUUGUAUCAUCAUUUACUACCCAGUCCAGUUUGAAUGAGUUAAGCCAUAACCUACCUCAAAAGCCGAAAUCGGUCUGCUAUACUUUGAACCCAGGAUAUUACGUUUGACGAACAAUCUUGAACUCCACUAAAAACAUCAAAUAUGAAAUCAACGCGUCAAAACAAAACCAAGAUAUUCAUAUUGAGUACUUUUGGUUUGUGGUCAAAAUGGACACCCGAAGCGGAUUUCCAAAAAAAGAAGGGAAAAAUCAAAACUUUACUUCAAAAAUAUGUUCUCCAUAUUUUUAGGAAUCUACAUAUGAAAAAUCAAGUUAAAUCAAAGAAAAACGAGGUUCAAAUCAAAGAAAAACCAUUUUUGAGCUUUACCGGGUAGAAUCUUUGAAAUCCGAGUUAAAAUCAAGAAUUAAAGUUUUUUUAAGGGUUAAAUUGAUGAAAAGCUAGUAAUUAUAAGAUCAAAACAUUAUUCAAGUGAAAAGGAGUGAAAUUGGGGUUUAAAAUCAAGCCCUAAGAUUUAGGGUUUUGAGAAAUUAAUCAAGAAAUUACUAAGAAAAGAGUGAAUUCUUACCUCAAAUCCGUAAUAAAAUCAAGAAAUAGAUGUUAAUCUAGCUCCCCAAGCUCUUACAAGUUUCACUUUUAAGCUCCCACACUAUUAUAGGAUUUAACACUCAAGAGACAAGAUGAAAAAUGAACAAAAUGGACCAAAAAUAGGGGGAAAUCUGCUAUAUAUAACAGAAAAUAUGCUAUAGUAGCAGUUUUUGUUUUAAAAGUCCAAUUUGAACUUUGACAGGGUGCCCGAAAUUGAUUCGGAGUUAGAUAUAUGUAAAUGAACUAUGUAACCAUCCUAAAUUUGAUGUUCCGGACUCGUUGACAAAGUCAUAUUUUCAAAAAAACAUCAUUUUCACAAAGUUGACCUCUGAAACCUGAAAUCAUAAUUUUUCAAACCGAGGGUCGAAAUGAUAUUUAAAAUCCGUAAAAUCAUACCAAACAUGCUAACACCCUAAAAUCGAUAUUCUAGAUCUAUGGCAAAGUCGUAAUUUCCAUUCGAGAUCGUUUCGAACAAAUGUGGGUCCCACACCCAUAUUUUCAAUUUUUCAACUUUUCGAUCAAUAGGUCGAAAUGAGUUCGGGUGCACCAAAACCCAAACCAAAGGUUUAUCUAGACUGGAAUCAUUAUUCCGGAGCUACUGGAGCAGUCUGUUCGGCGAUCAGUCGCAUGGAUCAAAAGAUAUCCCUAUAAGUCUAAAAUAAGGCUCUCGAAGCAUCAAAAACCACAAUAUCGCAUAAAUGAUAAGAAAAUGCAUCAGAAAAUAUGUCAAUUACUCCCACACCCCAGAAAUACCAUAAUACCACUACGGAGAGGGUUAAAAUAGUCAAAUUAUAUAAAAUCACAAAUUUCCUAUAUUUCAUUAAAUUUUUAGAUCGUUACAGGAAUCCUUCUUAAGAACUCUUGACAGGUACGACUUUUCUGGUGGAUUCUGAAUUGUUGUGUUUUUAGUUAUUUACAUUUGGGUUUGUUUGAUUUUGUUAUGGUGAGAUGAUAUGUCACAAAUCAAUUUGACUCGAGCCUAAUCUUCUAAUCGCAUUGCUUUAUGACUAUUUGACCUUUUAGAAAUUUUGUUUCUAUUUUUGCAUCUCAAAUUGGGUUGUCAGCAGUAAGUUACACCUCUUCCUAAUACCACUCUAGGUUGGGUCAAUUUUAUGAUUUGUUGAAUUCAAACUUAGUGGUAAUAUAGGAUAAUUAAUUCUUAAGUCCUAGAAUUUCAUGAAUUAAGUCAUUUGGUUGCUUUGUUUGGUUCGUUUUCUUUUGUUUGUUGGGUUGUUCUCAGCUUUGGUCCUUUGUCUAUAAUCAUUUGCCAUGUUUUAACAUGAAAUAGUUAAUUGUUUGAAUUGCAUAUAGAGAAAUCUCUUUUUUAGUUACUCUCUCCGUUUAAAACAGAAUGAUCUAAUUUGACUUGAUACAGAGUUUAAUAAAUUGAGAAAAACUUUUGCCAUAUCAUCAAAAUAUACAUAAAUUACCAAUUAUACCCUUAACUUCAGAAGAAUAAUUUUUAAAUAAAUUGUAUAGAAAGAAGCAAAAGGCAAGUGACAGGUGUCCACUAAUAUUAAAUGUGUCCAUUUCAAAAAACAAGUGGUCAAAGAAGUGCACUUGAUGACACGCCUAACUUUUUCUUUAAUUACAGUAACAAUUAAAUGCAUCCAUUCUUUUUUCUCAUUCUUAACGCAAACUAGGAGUACACUCAUUUGAAUGUUAAUCUCUUCUCUCCUUAGUUGAAGAAAAAAAAACAUGGCUAAUGAAGUUGUGUUUAAUUUUUUUCAGCAAUUACGGGUUUUUCUUUUCAAUUUCUUCUACUCCAUUCUUGAUUACAGAGUAAAUAGGAGUACUUUUGCUACUGUAUUUGUUUGAUUAUAUCAGUCUCUAAUGGGAUUGAUUUUUGUAAAAGAAUUUACUCCCAAAUAUAUCCCACUUGUAUAUGAUAAUGAUGGAAUACUUUUUUAAAAAAGAAAUCACUCCUAAUUUCUCAUAGCCUCCAGUAAUAAAAUGUAUUGGGCGGUAAAUUUUCAUUUCCCUCCAUGGCUCCAAAAUCUCUUACUAUUGCUUUCAAUUUACUGAUCACAAUAAAAUUGCAAUAUGUAUUUAUAAAGAUGUUGAGACUUUAUUUCUUACAUAUUGUUCUCUAUACUUCUAUUGCAUACUAUCUCCAUUUCUGUUCUAAUUUCCUAUAAGGAUGUCAUAAAUAUAAAAACAAUGAAUUCACAAUUAGAUUCAAUUACUGAAAAUUCAAGACUAAAAUAUAAGGACCGUCAAGCUAUUGGUGAAUGACUUUUGAAAGAAAGCAAAGUUGGGCAUCUCAGACAUGGAUCAGUAAAGCAAGCUGCACAGUUAUUUCACACUUCAGAAAGUACGAUGAAAUGAAUUUGGAGACAAAUAUAGUUAUCUCUUUCUAAUGGCAUGGCGAUAGAUCAUUUAUCAAAACUUGCGGGUAAAGUUGAGAGAAAACGAAUUCAAAUUGAUAUUAAUCAAAUAAAGGAAACUCCUCUUUAUCGUCGAACGAAUAUUCGAUCUUUAGCUUGUGCCAUUGAUGCGUCGACAUCAACUCUUUUUCGACGUAUCAAAGAUGGUGCAAUGAGGGCGCACAUAAACGCUAUAAAGCCUCAUUGGACGGAGAAAAAUAAAAAGGUACGAGUCGAGUUUUGUUUAUCAAUACUUGAUCCGGAUACACUUCAUUCGAAUCCAAAAUUUUCAAAUAUGUUUAAUUACGUUCACAUAGAUGAAAAAUAGUUUUUUCUAUCAAAGAAAUGUGAAAGGUACUAUCUCAUCCCAGAAGAACUAGAAUCUAAUCCAUAUAGAUCAUGUAAAAGUAAGAAUUUUAUUACCAAAGUGAUGUUCAUGGCUGCUGUCGCACGUCCCAGAUUUGAUCAAAAUGGAUUUAAGUUGUUUUCAGGAAAAAUAGGAAUUUUUCCUUUUGUUGUAAAAGAGGCAGCUAAGUGGAAUAGCAAAAAUCAAGUUACCGGGACUUUGGAAACGAAGCCUAUAUUAUCUGUGACUAAAGAUAUAACUAGGGCUUGCUUGAUCGCAAAAAUUCUUUCCGCAAUUAAAUCAAAAUGGCUAGUUUCAGAGUCAAAUACUCCCAUUUUUAUUCAACAAGACAAUGUAAGAUCUCAUAUUGAUGUAAAUGAUAUGGAAUUUAACGAAGCUGCUCGAGAAGAUGGAUUUGAUAUUCGACUGUGCUUUCAACCUUCUAAUAGUCUAGAUUUAAAUGUCUUUGAUCUUGGAUUCUUUAGAGUCAUUCAAUACCAAAAGACUCCUAUAAAUAUUGAUGAGUCGAUAAUUGCAGUUGAAAUUUUUUAAAUUAAAUGAGAGUGGAGCGACUCAAUCACGUGUUUUUAACUUUGCAAUCUUGCAUGAUUGAUUUUAUGAAAGCUAAAGGCGGGAACAGCUAUAUAGUGUCUCACUUGAUGAAAGAAAGAUUAGAACGAAAAGGAAGUCUUUCGGUUCAACUUUGUUGUGAUAUUGAUGUUGUCAAUGAAGCUAAUGAUUUCCUCUAAAUGUGAUAUGGGAUAUAUGUAUGUCAAUCCUAGUAGGAGUACAAUCUAUUUUUAAAGUUUACUGAUUUUCCCUUUUGUAGCCUUGAGCAUCUUGCAUCUUUUUUGUAUAAACUCCUACUACUUGUAAAUGACCUCUUCUUGGUAUUAGCUCCUGGAUGUAGAUGAUCUCUCUUUUUUUGUGUAGUGCUCAUAAAUUCCUAUAUGUAGAUGACUUUGUUUUGGGAUAAACUCCUAUAUAUUGAUGGUUUUUUUUCUUGUAUAAAGUCCUAAAUUUAAAGUUGUGCGUGAAAAGAUUGUGCAUAUGAGUAUUACUCUGUUCUUUAAUGUCCUUAUAUAUACUCUUUUUUUUUGUACUAAUUCAAUUGUGAUCGACGCUUAAUAUAAGCAACACUGCUAAGAAUAUUCUUUGUUGAAACUAUAUGUUGCAACUGGCCAAGAAAAGAGAAUUGCACUGGAAAAAAGGGAAAGCAUAAAAUUUAGGAAAAGAAUAAAAAACUAAGAAAAAGUUAAAGUGACAACAUUAAUGUGAUUUGACGGGUUGCAUAUUUUGAAAUUUCUGUUGAAUUUUCUAUUCAUUAAAAAAAAAUUAACCUGACAUAUUUCUAUGUUAGUGGGUCUAUGUUUGGUGAAUAUGGAAAAUGAUAGCAAGGGUAUUAUUGGAAUUUCAAAAGUUUGAGGUUGUCAAAAAGGAAAAGAGGUCAUUUUUUUUUAAACAGCCCAAAAAAAAAAGUAGAUCAUUCUUUUUAAAACGGAAGAAAUAUUUAUUAUCAUUACUUUAUGGUUUAUAUUUUAUCUAAUUCUUUCCUUAAGUCUAAUAUCUAUGCUAUUCCACAAUAUUUAUUCCAAAUGCCUAUUUAUAAACCCUUUUUGAUUACUCCAGUUGAUUUACAUAGGGUGUUUGAUUUAUAUGAAAGUAUUUUUGAAUUUCUCUUUUGUUGGUUGUGGUCAUUUCCAUUGUAUUAAUCCUUAUUUUUAUUUUCUUUGCAUGAAAAAUUUACCGGAGUCUACUUACACUCCCAUUACCUUUGCAUUCGAGCAUUAUCGAUUCAAGCCUCCACCAAAGUCCAAAAUGGACUAACACAUGAAGAAACGAGAUUGAUAUAUGCAGAUAUAAAUUAGUGUACAGCAGCAAGUGAAGGCAAGGAAUGAAGAUACCAGUUUUAUACACUGAUAUACAGUGUGUACACAAAAACGCUGCAGUAGCAAGGCUGAUAUACAGUCAGUAUACAGGUGAUAUACAUAGCUAAAAAUGAACCAAAAAGGGUCCAUUAAAGUAGGCCCGAAGGCUGUCCGAUUUAAAGUGGGCUAGAAAGGGGCCCAAAUCUCCACUUUUCUUCCUUAUUUGCUUGUAGUUAAUUUAAUUACUUGUUUGUUUGUUUGUAAUUUAAUUUAAUCUAGAUGAAUCCUUGGAAAGUAAAUUAUAUUGAAAUUAUUCAUUAAUGUUGGUUAUUUAAUAUUUUUAAUAUUUUUAAUUUUUAAUUUUUAAUUUUUAAUUUUUAAUUCCUUUAUUUUAGACAAACUUAUGUUUGAGGAAUUAGUUGACGAUCUACUUAUAUCCUUUCAUAGUUAUUAUCGACUCAAAAUCCAUGUUUAAGAAGUUGGAUUAAUUCUUUAGCCUAAAGUCUUAAUUCGGAUAAACUUAUUGUAGUUAGAAUUAUUUUGAAACUUUUGAUGCUUAGCUCAUUUUAUCAUUUAGAAUAAAUUAAAUGGAUUAGUAUCAAAUAAACUCUAUUGUUUUGAAAUAAGGUUUUUAAAAUAAAUUCAUAAAUUUUAAGAAGAUUUUUCAAAUAACUUAAAGAACUUUUUUGGUUAAACUUAACCAAAUAAGUUUAAUCCGUCGAGAACCACACUUUGUGGAUUUUCGAAAGUGCCUAACACCUUUCUUUCGAAUUUACUUGAAAUCCUAUGUAGACUCUAGUUAUUUUCAAAAGGUUUUCUUUCAAAAUUACUUUUAAAUGGUUUCUUAAAUUUCUUAAAAUUAAGUGGGGAUUCUAAAUUAUUUUUCAAAAAUAAAAUAAAAAAUAGACUUCUCUUAUUUUUCGCCACGAAGCCAUGAAACAUUUUUUACUUUUCAAAAAUGGAUCAUAAUAGAAUGAAGACUUUUCUAGGGAUUCAUCUUGAUUCUAACCAUAAGGAUUUUAUGUGUUUGGCUAAUUUUUGUAUUAAUUGUUACUUUUGUAAUUAUUUUUGUAUUAAUGUUUCGGCCCCUAUUGUUCAAUUCCAAAUCAAGUGUUGGGAGUAUGAUGGUUAAUUGGCACGUUAGACGUCCGAUGACUGUUUGUAUUUCCAAACCCAAGUUGUCCACUUUGGAACCUGGUUGAAGCCCACUCUAUAUACCUAGGAUAGAGUGAAAUCAAAACUCAUUUUUAGGCAUAAGCCUAAGACGACCCAAUAUCUUAGAGGGUAUUAGGUCCAUUAAAAAACCUACCUUACAUCUAUUUGACCACGAUUCAUAGCAUACGAUCAAACCUUAUCUGUUAAAUUGAAGAAUAUGAUGCCGAAUUGUACGAACCAUUAUCCCUUGGGGUUGAGGGUUUUACUUAGAUAGAUUCUUUUAAUCAAAAGAAGAUCUUCAUCAGAAGGUAAUUAAGAAGUUUCAAGAAGGUCAAGAUCAAAGGACUCUCAAGGAGGUUUAGUUAAGAUUUUCUUCCCUACGUGGGAUUGAUAUCAUGUAUUUUUCCUUUCCAUCAUUUUGUAUCCCCAUUUGAUUUAUUUAUGAAGUUUGUAUAAUAUUUAAGGGGCAAUGGAACGUCUUACAAACGACCUAUAUAUCUUUCAAAUGUUAGGCUUACUUUUGGCUUGAAAGGUCUCAUGUAUGAGAGGACGCGUUAUAAAUUGUGUAUGUGCUAAAGUGCUUCAUUGUUUUGCAUUAUUUAUUUGCUUGAUUUGUCUCAUAUAUUACUUUGAUCAAUUAUUAUAAUUCAUGAACUAACACUUUUACCUUUUGAUUGUUUUCUGCGGGAAAAAACUACUUUGCUUUUACCUUUUGUUUGUUUUCUUCUUUUUAAAAAAGAAAUUGAUUUAUGUUGGUAAUCAAACUUGCUCGCUUCGUAAAGAGUAAAAGCAAAGUAGUCUUUUUCCGCCAUCAGUCGUGAAGAAGAAUGAAGGUUCCUCAAAGGCGCACUUUCGACGUCCUUCUACCCUGCAUUUUGAAGUUAUUGUUUUCUUUUCUUGUAAUCAUGCUUUAUUGUCGUUAUUUCCUUAUAAUCGCACUUUAUGAUUUGAUUUCUUUGUAAUACAAAGUACGUUGGAUCUGAAUUUCCAAGAAUGGAAUUCGUAGGUGGCCUAUGUCGGCUUUGAUCAAUCCUUUAGAAAAUUUAUUUUUCCAUCUUACUAUGGAACUAUGUUUGAUAUGUUUCCUACCUCAAUGAAAUAUGUGGAUACCCCACUAGCUCGAUCAUAUUUACCAUAAGAUUUUCAUAGAAUCUGAGACAAAUUUUGAGAGGAUCUCACAAUUUUAUCAAAAGGAUCUUUUUUUUAAGUUACAUAAAGAUAACAUUGAAACAUAUAACUGGGGCAGAAAUUUUUGAGAAGGUCUCAAAAAUUUCACAAAACUAGAUAUUUGCUAUAAAGGUGACCACCAAAUGUUGCUAAAGAUGAAAUAAGGGCAUAGUUUGUGAGAAGUUGUCAAGUUUGAAGCUAUAUUACAUCAUAAAGAAUUCAAGUAUUUUGCAUUCUAGACUGGGGCAUAAUUUUUUAGAAGAUAUCAAAAAUUCCAUACUAAAUAAUGUCAUAAGUUACAAGGAAGUUAGGGAGUUUCUAAAUUGGGGCAGAAUUUUUGAGGAACUACAAAGACUGCACUUCAAGCCUACAAAUCGAUGAACAACAAGGAACAUCAAGAGAGCAAGGAAAUACCAACACAGUCAGUCUAUCAAAAUUAAGAAUUUUUCUUUGGAUGCAGAAAAAGUAAAGUUACAAUAUUGACAACAUUAAGCAUGACAAAAGGCAUUACCAAAUCCACUGUGCCCUGCCAUAAUAAUUCGGACAACCUCUCUUCUCCAUUUUCCUUUUGAUUUAUAUUUCAAUUACUUUGUUAUGAUCUCGAACACUUUAUCUAAUAUUAUAGGGAAAUGAUUGGGCAUAACAAUUGAGAUAUUAUUCAAAACACUAUCUCCAAAUCAUUAUGAGUCAAAUGACUUUAUCUUUAAACUCUAUCUUCUGUUACACUCUAGGCUUAGUUACAACAAGUUGUUAUGUUAUUAAUGAGUGUUGUUUGAGUUAUGUACGUGACAUUAUGCAAGACUGCCUCUAAGAACUAACACAAACCAAUACUCUCAUAGUUUGAGGAUUCAAUCCAAAAGCUCAGGACAUGCACAAGUCCUUUUAAGGAUUUCUGAUUCAAAUGAUGAAGUUUAACACAUCAACUUCUAUCUUUACUUAUUUAUUAGGGGUUUCUACCCUCUACGAAAAUUAUUGGGUUGUCAGCCCAUUCGAGGUGACACAUCUUAUUAUAUUUGGGUCAUUCACCCGUUCAAGAGGACAUACCGAAUCGUCACUUUGUUUGAGGUAACACAUUUUAUUAUAUUUGGGUCAUUCACUCUUUCAAAAGGACACAUCCUAUUAUAUUUGGGUUUUCUCACCCUUUAAGAGGAUGCAUUGGACCAUCACAUUAUUUGAGACAACAUAUUAUAUGUUAUGGACUGUCACCUCCUUCAGAGUGACAUGUUAUUAUGUUAUGGACCAUCAUCUCCUUCAAAGUGAAAUGUUAUUAUGUUAUGGAACGUCACCUCCUUUAGAGUGAUAAAUUAUUAUGUUAUGGACUUUCACUUCCUUCAGAGUGACACGUUAUUAUGUUAUGGGUCGUCACCUUCUUUAGAGUAACAUGUUAUUUUGUUAUGGAACGCCACCUUCCUCAGAGUGACAUAUUAUUAUGUUAUGGAUUGCCACCUCUUUCAAAGUGACAUAUUAUUAUGUUAUGGAUCAUCACCUCCUUUCGAGUGACAUGUUAUUAUAUUAUGGAUUGUCAUCUCCUUCAGCGUGAAAUAUUAUUAUGUUAUGGAUCGCCACCCUCUUUCAGCAUGUCAUAUUAUUAUGUUAUGGAUUGUCACCUCCUUCAGAGUGAUAUGUUAUUAUGUUAUGGAUCAUCACCUACUUCAAGUGACAUCUUAUUAUGUUAUGGAUUGUUACCCCUUUCGGUGUGGCGUAUUAAAGCAAGGUUUGCAUAAUUGCCCUUGCAUUCAUUUGCUACUAAUAAGUCUAGUGUUGGUGAUUAAUAGACACGUUUGACCAUCACUUCAUUCAAAGUGACAUAUUACAUUAAAAAUGGGUCAUUUGACUUUUAAUGAGACACGUUGGACCAUCACUUCAUUCAAAGAGACAUGUUGCAUUUAAAAUGGGCCGUUCACAUUUUAAUUAGAUAUGUUGGCCCGUCACUCCGUUCAAAGUGGCAAAUUAUAUUAAAAAUGGGUCGUCCACUAAUGAGACAAGUUGGACCAUCACUCUAUUCAAGUGGCAUAUUACAUUCAAAAUAGAUCUUCUGCAUUUCAAUAAGACAUGUUGAACUGUCACUCUGUUCUAAGUGAUAUUCUACAUUCAAAAUAGGUCGUCCACCUUUUAAUGAGACAUGUUGGACUGUCACUCCAUUCAAAGUGGGAUGUUACAAUCAAAAUGGGUCGUCAACCUUUCAAUGAGAUACAUUGGACCGUCACUUCGUUCAAAGUGGCAUGUUACAAUCAAAAUGGGUUAUCCGUAUUUUAGUGAGACACAUUGGACCGUCACUCUAUUCAAAGUGGCAUGUUACAUUCAAAAUGGGUCGUCCACCUUUCAAUGAGACACAUUGGAUCGAUACUCCAUUCAAAGUGGCAUGUUACAUUCAAAAUAGGUCGUCCGUUUUUCAAUAAGACACGUUUAACCGUCACUCCAUUCAAAGUGGCAUGUCACGUUCAAGAUAAGUCAUUUGCCUUUUUACUGGUACAUAUUGGAUUUUCACCUCGUUUAAUAUGGCAUAAUUUUUUUAGAACAGGUUGUGCAAAUUGGUUCAUUAACUAUCUCAGUAUAGCAUGUUCAAAUAGGUUUGCACUAAUUUAUAUUUGUGUAAUGCUCCAUUUACAACUAAUCAUUUGUUUUAGUUGUUGUCGAGACUAUCCAAAAGGAUGAAAUUUUCAAAUCAAAACCAUAGGUGUGGAUAACUCCAGAAAGGACGUUGCAUAACGUGAAACUUUUUCUUAGCAGCGAACUGAGAUAUGGUCCGAAGAGAAAUGUCAAAUUCUUCAGACUUGAGCUGAAAGAUGACUUCUACUACCAUUAAACCACGCCCCUUUUAGAAGGAAUGUAGGAUAUUUUUAAAAUCACACUGAAAUUCUCUUUCUUUCAAAUCCGGGUGAUAAUGCACUCAGAGUUUCGUAAAUUAUGGCUAGAUAAAUUCUAGCCUAUGGAUGUGAAGGAUCCCACAUUCAUGGUUAAGAGGUUACAAGCCUCUUUUUCUUAACUCAAUUGACUUGUUACUUAUCCUAAGCCAAAGAUCGUCUAAAAUAAAAGACUAUCUUUUUUACCGAUUGAGUCAAACUAUAAGCAGUCUGAUUUCCUAAAUCGUUGGGAUAUGUAGGCUGGUAUCUGUGUUAAAAACUCAACUGAAUUCUAACCUCCCCGAAUCCUCUUAUUCCUAGCUUUUCGAUUUCACCAAAAUUCAAAAAUCAAAAUAGUUUGUGAAUUCAUUGAAAAUCAUGCUUUAAAUCAAGCGUUAUGAACAACAAGUAGCCUAAAUUCUCAUGUAAUUUAAGAUAUGUAGGAAACUCGAUACCAGGGUUCGGGCAUAGCUCCCUAAAACUCAUACGAAAAUCAACCCCCUUUCAGAAACGAAUUUGUGGUCGGACAAAAAUUAGGAACGUCAAUCUCCCUUUACCCAGGGUUACUUGCGUUUACCCUAUCCAAAGAGAGGGACAGUUGUUGACACCUAAAUUUUUGCCCUCCAUGACUAAGUUUAAUUCUGAGUUUCUUUGAUUUUAAAAAAAAUUACUUUUAUUUUAUCCGGAUAACGAAACUUUUUAAAAAUAUUUAUCUAAGUAAUUUUGUCAUUUUAAGUAGCGAUUAUAUAAUUUCAUGUUUAUGAGAUUGUGUCAUUUUAUGACUUAAAAAAUUAUUUUACAAAAAAAUAAAUUUUAAUCAAGGACUAUAUGAAAAUUGAUUUAAAUGGGCAAAGUCUUAAUUUAAAUAUCUAUUUGUUGUCAAAAAUAAUUUAUUCAAAAAAAUAUAUGUUUGAUUUUAUUAAACCAAGAAGUUACGGAUUAAUUUGGAUUUUAAUUCAUCUCAUAUUGUGAUUCAAUUUAGUCAAUAUAUUAAAUUUGUCCAUAAUUGAAAUAAAUUGAUCAUAAUUGGCCAUUUGAUUGUCAAUCGGCUGAAAUUUAAACAAUUGAUUAAAAUCUUAACAAUUAAGCUAUUUGACAAAUAGCCUAAUUUCUACUCUCGCCUAAAUCAAUAACCCAACCCUUUUUUUUUUUCUAAAAUUGGGCCAGAUGAUCCAGCCAUCCACUAGCCCACUCCAGUGGCCCAAAAUCGAACCAUUCCAUUCCCUUGCUCCAUUUCCCUAUUACACAACACCAGCAAUAUCCACCGACCAAAAACAACAAUUUCAACUUAACAUCCAUCUACAACAUCAACAUCAACAUCGACAACAACUUCAACUCGAUAACCAGGGUCAAAACUCUAGCAAUAUCAACGAUCUCGACCAGAACCCGCAACAACUUCAGCAGACAACAGUUUCUCCAACCCGAUUUCAACCCAAAAAUGACGAACCCAACCCGCCAAAUGUUUCAAUAUCACGUAAACAACAGCUUCAACGACACCUCAUCCAUUUUCUUUAAAUUAUCAAAUUUGAAAUUCAAAUCUGUAUGAAAAUUGUAUAAUUUCUAGCUCACUCAACAAACCUUAUCCUUUCUUGAAUUCAAAUUUCCCCAAAAGACCUCAAAAACCCCUCCCCCACACCAAAAAUUAUUGAAGAAAUUAGGGAUUUUGGGUUCUAUAUAAACCCUCCCCACUUCACUGUUGUAAAGGGCUUUCCGAAGGAAAAAAAAGUUAAAAAUUCUCUUUACUCAUCUAGGAUUUUGGACUUCAGUCCCCAGCCUUAGAGUGGUGAGAAUUCUAAAAUCACGUUUCAUUUUUCGUUACUCCUUUUCGAGUCAAGGGGAAUGGUGAAGGCGUGGUCGAUUUGUCGUCCCGGUUUGCUAUUCCCGAAAAGGUGAAAGCUUAAUCUCUUUUGCAUUUUUUCUCUCCCUUUGUUACAAUAAAAAUCUGAAUCUCAGUUGUAACAAUUAGAAUGGGGUUUGCUCUUGUACGAAAUGUCCUAUGUUUGGAUGAAUAGCUGUGUUCAAAUUCAAUUGGUUUGGAAUUUCGUUAAUACUUGAAUAUGUGAGUCUGUUUGGGUAUUUGUGUGUUUAUAACACAUGGAAUUGUUGCACUACUUGUGUUUGUUGUGAGUUAAAUUUGUUUGGGAUUGCUGUUUUAAUCCUUGAAAUCCUUCUUAAAAACUCUUAACAAGUACAACUUUGGUGGUUGAUUCUGGAUUAUUCUGUUUUUAGUUAUUCAUUUUUGGGUUUAUUUGAUUUUGUUAUGGUGAGAUGAUAUGUCACGAAUCAGUUUUACUCGAGCCCAAUCUUCUAAUCUCCACGCUUUGUGACUAUUUGACCUUUUACCUUUGCAUUCGAGCAUUAUCUAGUCAAGCCUCACCCAAAGUCCAAAAUGGACUAGCACAUGAAAAAAUCGGACUGAUAUAUGCAGAUGUACAGUAGUAUACAAUAGUAUACAACAGUAAAUGAAGGCAAGCAAUGAAGAUAUUAGUUUUAUACACUGAUAUACAAUGUUUACACAAAAACGCUACAGCAACGAGGCUGAUAUACAUUCAGUAUACAACUGAUAUACAUAGCUGAAAAUGGACUAAAAAGGGUCCAUUAAAAUAGGCCCAAAGGCUGUCCAGAUUUAACGUGGGCUAGAAAGGGGCCCAAAUCUCUACUUUCCUUCCUUAUUUGCUUGUAGUUAAUUUAAUUAUUUGUUUGUUUGUUUGUAAUUUAAUUUAAUCUAGAUGAAUCCUCAGAGAUCAAAUUAUAUUGAAAUUAUUCGUUUAUGUUGGUUAUUUAAUAUUUUUAAUUUUUAAUUCCUUUAUUUUAGAUAAACUUAAGUUUGAGGAAUAACUUGAGGAUCUACUUAUAUCCUUUUGUAGUAAUUGUCGACUCAAAAUCCAUGUUUAAGAAGUUGGGUUAAUUCUUUAGCCUAAAGUCUUAAUUCGGAUAAACUUAUUAAAGUUGAAAUUAUUUUGAAACUUUUGUUCAUUUUAUCACUUAGAAUAAAUUCAAUGGAUUAGUAUCAAAUAAACUCUAUUGUUUUGAAAUAAGGUCUUUAAAAUAAAUUCAAGAUUUUUAAUAAGAUUUUUUCAAAUAACUUAAGAUUUUUUUUUUUUUCAAAAUUAGCCACAUAAAUUUAAUCCUUCGGGAUCCACGCUUUGUGGAUUUUUGAAAGUGUCUAACACCCUCUUUCGAAUUUACUUGAAUCCUUACGUAGACUCUGGUUAUUUUUAAAAGGUUUGCUUUCAAAAUUAUGUUUUUAAAUGGCUUCUUAAUUUUUCUAAAAUUAAAUGACGCCUCUAAAUUAUUUUUUAUAAAUAAAAAAAAUAAAGUUCUCUUAUUUUUUUCGCCACGAAGUUAUGGAUCGUUUUUGUCUUUUCAAAAAUGAAUAGUAAUAAAUGUAUUAAAUGAAGACACAUACAAAGAAUUAUUAUUUAAAAAAUUAAUAAAUAAAUAUACAACUUCGUCAAGCGCCAUGUAGGAUAGGUGCAGCUAAUUGUGAAGUGUGGAUAGGAGCCUGUGUAUGAGUGAACGGGUAUAAAUGCAGUCAUUGUUUUAGUGAGAUGUUAAGGAACUUAGUAGUUAGUUAUGUAUAGUUGAGGUGGAGUGUGCACUGUGAGGUAUUUUAAAGAUGAGAGGAAGAUGAGAGGAAGAGGAGAGGUGACCUAGUUUUUGACUGUUUGAAUUUUUAGAAUUGUUGAUCCCAUUAAUUUAGGUUUUGUGUUCCCAUUAAUAAGUAGGUAGUUAGAUUCGAAAGGGUCAACAUUUAUUCCACAAAUAAAAGCUGCGCGGCUUGGAGAAUCGAACACCCGACCUAAGGAAUAUGAACAUGAUGAUUGACCAAAUUUGGUACUUGAGCUUUCAACAAUCCCAUACGAUAUAAUAAUCAAAGCAUCACCAAAUUUGUCCCAUAUCCCAUUGAAAUAUUAUUUAUUGUAAUUAUUUUAAAUUUGUUAUUGUUGUAGUCAUCAUUAUUAAUUAACUAAGAAUUGG
rnacentral:lncRNA from 1 species